CAAUAGCGUAUAUUAAAGUUGUUGCAGUUAAAAAGCUCGUAGUUGAAUUUCGGGUCCCCGCGCUCGGCGCUUCAUUGUGCCGUCGUGGUGUCCCUCCUCGCCGUAAGGCGUCCUUUACUGUGAAAAAAUUAGAGUGUUCAAAGCAGGCAAUCGCUUGAAUACAUUAACAUGGAAUAAUAAGAUAGGAUCUUGUCUAUUUUGUUGGUUGCGGACAACGAUAAUGAUUAAUAGGGAUAGUUGGGGGUGUCCGUAUUGAGCUGUCAGAGGUGAAAUUCUUGGAUUUGCUCAAGACGAACUACUGCGAAAGCAUUCACCAAGGAUGUUUUCAUUAA
rnacentral:rRNA from 1 species